UACGUAGGGGGCAAGCGUUGUCCGGAAUCAUUGGGCGUAAAGAGCGUGUAGGCGGCUCGGUAAGUCCGCUGUGAAAGUCCAGGGCUCAACCCUGGAAUGCCGGUGGAAACUGUCGAGCUAGAGUCCGGAAGAGGCGAGUGGAAUUCCUGGUGUAGCGGUGAAAUGCGCAGAUAUCAGGAGGAACACCAAUGGCGAAGGCAGCUCGCUGGGACGGUACUGACGCUGAGACGCGAAAGCGUGGGUAGCAAACAGG
rnacentral:rRNA from 1 species